CCUACGGGAGGCAGCAGUGAGGAAUAUUGGUCAAUGGACGAGAGUCUGAACCAGCCAAGUAGCGUGAAGGAUGACUGCCCUAUGGGUUGUAAACUUCUUUUAUAUGGGAAUAAAAUGUUCCACGUGUGGGAUUUUGUAUGUACCAUAUGAAUAAGGAUCGGCUAACUCCGUGCCAGCAGCCGCGGUAAUACGGAGGAUCCGAGCGUUAUCCGGAUUUAUUGGGUUUAAAGGGAGCGUAGGUGGAUUGUUAAGUCAGUUGUGAAAGUUUGCGGCUCAACCGUAAAAUUGCAGUUGAAACUGGCAGUCUUGAGGACAGUAGAGGUGGGCGGAAUUCGUGGUGUAGCGGUGAAAUGCUUAGAUAUCACGAAGAACUCCGAUUGCGAAGGCAGUUCACUGGACGGCAACUGACACUGAGGCUCGAAAGUGUGGGUAUCAAACAGGAUUAGAUACCCGGGUAGU
rnacentral:rRNA from 1 species